rnacentral:rRNA from 1 species
GACGAACGCUGGCGGCGUGCCUAACACAUGCAAGUCGAACGGAAAGGCCCUGCUUUUGCGGGGUGCUCGAGUGGCGAAGGGGUGAGUAACACGUGAGUAUCCUGCCCUUGACUUUGGGAUAACUUCAGGAAACUGCGGCUAAUACAUGAGAGGAGCUCCUGCUGCAUGGUGGGGGUUGGAAAGUUUCGGCGGUUGUGGAUGUACGCGGGGCUUAUCAGCUUGUUGGUGGGGUAGCGGCUUACCAGGGCUUUGACGGGUAGCCGGCCUGAGAGGGUGACCGGCCACAUUGGGACUGAGGUACGGCCCAGACGCCUACGGGAGGCAGCAGGGGGGAAUAUUGCACAAUGGGCGGAAGCCUGAUGCAGCAACGCCGCGUGCGGGAUGACGGCCUUCGGGGUGUAAACCGCUUUCGCCUGUGACGAAGCGUGAGUGACGGUAAUGGGUAAAGAAGCACCGGCUAACUACGUG